rnacentral:sRNA from 1 species
CAGUCCCCAGCUCCUCCCUGCAUUGCGGAGGAAGUGCGGCCCCGGGACCCCCGCGGGCCGGCCUAGGGCACGGCGUCAGCCUCUGCCGCGUGUUUCUGCCUGGUGUGUGGGUGAGGGAAACCUAAGUCCGCCAGGAAAUCGCCUUAUUGUCACCUCGCACUCUUGUCCUCAAUGAAAGAAGUUUGAAGAUUGGGUGUCCUACAAGGCACGGAUGGGCAGAAGCCUUUGCAGGUAUCAGAAGUUCACAUAUCAAAUAUAUCUGCCCGCAUGCGCCUGUUAGGCCUGUUACAUUAAAUAUGAACAUGGCUAUGCCUUCAUGUAAAAGCUUUGAUUGAUCAAGAAGUGAAGAAUGGCAUUCCUUCUAACAGAAUUAUUUUGGGAGGGUUUUCUCAGGGAGGAGCUUUAUCUUUAUAUACUGCCCUUACCACGCAGCAGAAACUGGCAGGUGUCACUGCACUCAGUUGCUGGCUUCCACUUCGGGCUUCCUUUCCACAGGGUCCUAUCGGUGGUGCUAAUAGAGAUAUUUCUAUCCUCCAGUGCCACGGGGAUUGUGACCCUU